UGCUACUCACGUGUCGAGCAACAACAAAACCUCGACGUCCGUUUCAGGCCUUCCCGCUCGUCCCUCCAGCGGACUGCUCUUGCUCGUCCCAGGUCGGACAUCAGAGACGUCCACCAGCGGGCCGGUGGCCUGCGACAGAGACUGAUAGUGGACAGAGUGCGUGACGGUGGCCGACUUCUGUUUGGCAGUUUCUCCGAAAUCGUUAUCGAUAUAUGUUUAGGUUUGAAUAUGGUUCAGCAAAGAUGACUCACCCACGGUUUCCAUGGUGUCUCUCUCUUCGAUGAGCAGCUGCGCUCGGGGAAUGUCGAUGUGCAUGCGGAGGGUCUGCUGUUGUUUGUUAAUGGUAUC